rnacentral:rRNA from 1 species
UUUAAAUAGCUGCAGUAAUUUAACUGUACAAAGGUAGCGUAAUAAUUAGUCUUUUAAUUGAGGUCUAGAAUGAAAGGUUUGACAAGAAAAAAUCUUUAUUAAUUUAAUUUAAUGAAUUUUAUUUUUUAGUUAAAAAGCUAAAAUUUUUAAAUGGGACGAUAAGACCCUAUAGAUCUUUAAAUCUUUGUUUUAUAAAAUUAUUUAGGUGGAAUUUAAGUUUUAUUGACAAAAAUUUUUUGUUGGGGUGACAAAUAAAAUUUUAAAACUUUAGAAUUUAAUUACAUAAAUUAGUGAAUUUUUGAACCUAAAUUUGGGGUUGUUAGAAUAAGAUACCUUAGGGAUAACAGCGUAAUAAAUUUGUAUAGUUCAUAUAGAUAAAUUUGAUUACGACCUCGAUGUUGAAUUAAUCUAAAGUUUUGGAGCAGAAUAUAGAAUUUUAGGUCUGUUCGACCUUUAAAAGAUUACA